rnacentral:rRNA from 1 species
UACGGGGGGGGUAAACGUUGUUCGGAAUUACUGGGCGUAAAGAGCGUGUAGGCGGCCAUACAGGUCAGCUGUGAAAACUCGAGGCUCAACCUCGAGACGUCGGUUGAAACCGUAUGGCUAGAGUCCGGAAGAGGAGAGUGGAAUUCCCGGUGUAGCGGUGAAAUGCGCAGAUAUCGGGAAGAACACCCGUGGCGAAGGCGGCUCUCUGGGACGGUACUGACGCUGAGACGCGAAAGCGUGGGGAGCGAACAGG